rnacentral:misc_RNA from 1 species
AAAAAUCAUCUUUUAUUUGUCAUAGAAAACCUGCAUUAUGGUCCUAUAAACUAACCCUCUUUUAUUCUUCAACACCUCUCUCAUCUUGCUCUCUUCAGGCACAGCUCCUUUGCUCUUCACUAUCUCCAAUAACUCUUUUCCUUCUUCCUCCAUCCCUGCCUUCACCAACCCUUCAAAACUACCCAAACAAGUAGCUGCAUUGGGCUUCAUUCCCCUUUUCUCCACCAUCUCCAACACAUACUUUUUCG